rnacentral:rRNA from 1 species
UGUUGGUCUUCAACGAGGAAUGCCUAGUAAGCGCGAGUCAUCAGCUCGCGUUGACUACGUCCCUGCCCUUUGUACACACCGCCCGUCGCUCCUACCGAUUGAAUGGUCCGGUGAAGUGUUCGGAUCGCGGCGACGGGGGCGGUUCGCNGCCCCCGACGUCGCGAGAAGUCCAUUGAACCUUAUCAUUUAGAGGAAGGAGAAGUCGUAACAAGGUUUCCGUAGGUGAACCUGCGGAAGGAUCAUUG